GGUCAUCUUUGAAGAAACAAUUUGCAGGGAAAACAAAUAAAAUGCAAGCCACCCAUAUCAUGCAUGAGUUAACUAAUUUGAAGCAGCGCUCAAGAUCUGUAACAGAGUAUCCAGGUGAAGUAAAAAAAUUAUAUAGAAACUUACAUUAUCAUCACCCUUUUGAACCUGUUGACAAGGAUGACUUGGCAAUUCAUCAUGUGUGGUUUGAGUCGUUUGUGAGCAAGCUCUUUCUUGAUGGCCUAGACCAGGAACUAAACCUCCGUCGUCAAUUGAUAUUUGGAAUGCCUGAGUGGCCUAGUCUUGAUGAUAUUAUUUCUAGCAUGAUUGAGGAGGAGACUCGUUUGGCACAACCGAAGGAGGAUGGUCAGGAGCGUGCAGAUGCUCGUGCUGCAUUAUCCAUACAACCUCGCCGUGCUACAAAUUCCUUUGGUAAGGUGGAUAAAAGCAAAUUGCUUUGUGACCAUUGCAAGAGAAAAGGACACACCAAGGAUGAGUGUUUUGAGUUGCAUGGUUAUCCACCUUGGUGGGAUAAAGGGAGAUCUCAGCUAGGGGGAGCUCGGGGUUCAAACAAAAGACAAGCUAAUUACAAUGCAUCUGCAAGGGAACUACAUGUGGUAGAUAUGCAAGCUCUUGAGGAUUUCAAAUCCAAGCUCAAAUUCUCUGAAGGCUCAUCUUCGUCCCAAGGUUCCUCCAAAGUUGAUUCUAGCUUUAAUGCCAUCACCCAAGGUAUGGAAUCCCACCAAGCCCAGUCAAAACCAUGGAUAAUUGAUACUGGAGCUACUAACCACAUGACAGGUGCCUCAAACUUGUUUACUUCAGGCACCUUCCAGUCCAGGCCAGCCAGGGUCCCGGCGACCCUCCUACUCCUACUCCUACCCCUCCCAACUGCCGCUGCCACUGUGCUCACCGAUUCUCAACGGAGGAAAUGGCCAUGCACAGCACACCACACCGCAGUGCACCUACCUAGGGUCGGUCCUCUACCUACCAACCCCCCCACUUUAACGCUAAUCUCCAACAGAAAAAAGGCCAANNNNNNNNNNNNNNNNNNNNNNNNNNNNNNNNNNNNNNNNNNNNNNNNNNNNNNNNNNNNNNNNNNNNNNNNNNNNNNNNNNNNNNNNNNNNNNNNNNNNCGAUUCUCAACGGAGGAAAUGGCCAUGCACAGCACACCACACCGCAGUGCACCUACCUAGGGUCGGUCCUCUACCUACCAACCCCCCCACUUUAACGCUAAUCUCCAACAGAAAAAAGGCCAAAGGCGACGGAGGCUGGACUCACUGGACUGGAAGCCACCCGGCCGGCCUCCUCCUCCUCCUCCUCAGUAGCCCUCACUCUCCCACACUGCUCACUGGUUGGUCGACGAUGAUAAAAACCUCCACACGAUAGGAAUCUCAAGCCAUCCUCCUCCUCCUCCUCCUCCCGGCAGUUUCCUCCACGGCUCCACCACCCCGAGCCCAAGCCAACCGAGCAAAGCGCACGCCAAAGCGAGGGGCUUUGCCUCGAAUCCUGGGCGAGCCGAGCCACGAGCCCCACCACCACUGCUUUCGCCUUUCCGUUCAUUCCAAGAACCGGCGUACGUACAUGGAGCCGGCGGCGGCGGACGGGGCCUCGGACGAGCCGGUGCACAAGGGGCGGACCAACUCCAUCCUGCUCCCCAUCCUCGCCGUGCUCCUCGCCUACCUGCUCUACCGCUACCUCCGCCCGCGCCUCCGCGGCCUGCGCCUCGACCGCCUCCCGUUCCGCGUCCCGGACUGCCUCCGCCGCCGCGGCAAUGCCACCCGGACCACCCUGCUGCCCUACUUCGCGCCCAUCGCCGACCGCCUCGGCGCGCUGCAGCCCUACCUCGGCCCCAUCGCCGACCGCCUCGGGGUCGGCGGCCCGCACGGCCACGGCGGCGGGUACGGCGGCGCCGACGCGCUCGUCAGGUUCCCCGGCGGCGAGGGCCUGUCGGUGGCCGCCAUCCUCGAGGCGCCUGGGGAGGUGGUGGCCAAGUCGUCGCACAGCACGCUCUACCGCGCCGCCAUGCGCUCCGGGGAGACGGCCGUGCUGCUCCGGUUCGUGCGGCCCGCGUGCGCCGUGGGCGCCGACGAGGCCGCCGCCGCCGCGCGCCGGAUCGGCGCCGUCAGCCACCCGAACCUCGUGCCGCUCCGCGCCGUGUACGUCGGGCCCAGGGGCGAGAAGCUGCUCGUGCACCCUUCUACGCCGCCGGCUCGCUCCACCGAUUCUUGCAAGGUCAGUGCAUGCGCAUCACUCACUCUUGCUUUGGUCGACAUGUUCAUCCUGAUUCGUACAAAUGCACAAUUUUGCUACGUCAAAAGUGCACAUGAGCCCACACCGCAAAUGAAACUUUUUCUUAAUUCUAUUUGUUGCGACGAGAUCACACAUGAAACAUUAUGCAAUUACAUUUCGUCACAAAGGGAAAAGCAUGGCGUGGUUGCGAAGCGAGUUCGAAGACUCCAAAAAGGCAGAUCAGCAGCUUUCACUAAACAAAAAUCAUUUGGGCCAUCAGUUUCAACUUUCUUUUUCGAUAAUCAGUAUCAACUUUUGAGGCAAUGUGGAAUGUGUUACACAGUUUGGUUAUGGUACAGAGUCCAUUUCUUAUUUCCAGUUCAUGUUCGCUGGUUCUUAUUAUUAUUGCCUACUGCGGCCAGGCAGGAAACAUUUCUCUGCUUUGGUUGUUAGCCUGAGACCUCACAUGACACUGUCCUGAAGCAAUGGUCCUGGCCAUUAAUGUUACAUAAGGUCAUUAGAUCACCCUUCACAAUCGUGAUCAUUGGGGCACACAAUCAGUCCAGUGUGUUGCUCAGUUAAAACAGUGGUUAGUGCUGUAUAGUCGUCUGUCAAACAGUAGUGAACAUAGUCAUUGUUGUGCCUUAAUUGAAGGCACAUGCACACAUGUGCAGUCUUUUCAAGCCAAAACCAUGCAUUCAUAAUAUUGGCAUUUGUUGUGAUGGUAGCUGAUGAUAGUCUGCCUGUGUGCUGCCAUUUUCACAGAGGGGAUCGCCGACUCGCAGAGAUGGAGCCUGAUCUGCAAGCUCUCCGUGUGCAUCGCCAAGGGGCUCGACCACCUGCACACGGGGAUGGAGAAGCCGAUCAUCCACGGCAACCUCAAGACGAGCAACAUCCUCCUCGACGCCAGCUACGAGUGCAGGAUCUCGGACUACGGCCUCUACCUCCUGCUCAACACCGGCGGCGCCCACGAGAUGCUGGAGGCGUCGGCGGCGCAGGGGUACAAGGCGCCGGAGCUGGUCAAGAUGAGGGACGCCACCAGGGAGAGCGACGUGUACAGCCUGGGCGUGGUGCUGCUGGAGAUGCUCGCGCAGAAGGAGCCCGCCGGCGACGACGACCGCGCGCCCAGCUCCCGCGACAUCUUCCUGCCGGCGUCGUUCAAGAACCUGGUGCUCGAGAGGAAGAUCUCCGACGCCUUCAGCUCCGACCUCGUCAGGCAGAGCAGGAAGUCGGGGAACGAGAAGAAGCUGAACGCGUUCUUCGAGCUGGCCACGGCGUGCUGCAGCCCUUCGCCGUCGCUCCGGCCCAACACCAAGGAGAUACUCAGAAGGCUUGAGGAGAUAGCAAAAUAAUUAACUAAAUGUGGGUAGGUUCACCAUUCAGACGUAGCACGAGGCAAGGCUCAAGGAACGACUGAACCUCUGCUGGACGGAAAAUUGGAGAAUGGAGGCACACGGUUCAGAUAUCAUGGAAUGUGUAUAGUCAGAGUGUAAGCGCGGUGGAGGCCAUCGUCUCAAGAAUAUACUCAUUGUACGUAAUUUAUUUUCUUGUGCUUUGCUUGAAACCGACCAUGUACAAAGUGUUGAAAGAGUGGGGACGGCGUAUGCUGCAUGUUCAUGCAUCAAAAUCGCCAUGUCGAUGUAACCUUGGUCUGAUCUGAGUGUUAUAUCAGAUAUGAUUGGUAGGAGCAUUUGCUGUGCAGCUUGUGAUGUUCCCGGUGCAUGUGCGGUUGUUCUACUUGUACGCACUGACAAGGGCCGGCAGGGAGUGAUUCUCUCCAAGGGAAUUAUGCCCAGCGUUGCCUGAUUUCGGUCUCUGCACAGUCAUGCUGUCCUUAACAGUGGCUAGAUUCCGAAAUAGUAAGAAAUUAAGAUUCGGAACUUUUGGUUGUAGCUAGAUUGCUCAGCGGCAUGGCCUCAAAAACAGGUCACCAUCCACCACCUUCUCUUUCGCCGACACCAAAAGCGUAGCGUCCGUAACACACGGGCCUACAGUCUGCUGAUUUAUUUCGUAACCUGCAAAUGAAUCGCCUAUUCACUAUCCCACGUCAACAAAUGAUCAUCCUGUGCUAGCUUAAGCUUACCAAACGAUCUUCGGCUUGACGCCAGAAAAACUUACUGAUCAUCUCGAGUCUCCUUGUCCCUGAAUUAUCGUAAUGAGACGGAACAUGAAAGGCAUGUGUCAUGGCCUCCGCUGGCCGAGUGAUUAUCAGGUGGGUGAGGCCUUGGUUUGUGCCACCGGUUAGCCGCGGCGUCUCUCUCGCAGCGCAGGGAAAGCGGCAGCACGUGAAGCGCCAACGAACCCACCGAGAAAACUUGGAGCAAGCCUCCAAGCCUCCAAGCCGGGACCGCCUCUCGUCGUCCUCCAACUCCGCGGCCCCCUAAUGGUAGAUCUUGUGGGCACGUACAUACGUCCGUAGGCCGUAGCGUAGAUCAAAUGCCCCUGCGCGCGCUCAGGCCGGCCGGCCGGUCCGGUCCGGUGCACGGACGCCUGCGCUCGCCGUGCCGUAUCAUCAAUUUGCUAAUGCACAUGUCCCUUGGUCACAAAUCUUACGAUGUGUACUGUCGACGCGUUUUUACUGCCUCUGGCCCGUUGCCGACGCCGACGCCGAUGCCAUGGCCGUGCGCCGUGGUCCUCGCCCGUCCAUUCGCGGCUACUACAGUUGUGCGCGCCGUCCGUCGUGUAGCGUCUUGUGGGCAUGCGGCGUGCACCGUGUUUAACUUGGUAAGCUAAGCCGCACACGGCGAAGUGUUCGGGUCGGUGGGAGGCGGGUCACCGUACCUACCUAUGCGUCGACAUGUACCCGGUGUACGUACGUGCCGGGCCGCGACGGCGAUGGCUGGGGAGAGGAGAUGGUGGUGGAUUGGUGGUGGCGGUGGUUGCGCGUGGCUGGCGCGGCGGAGUAGGAGUGGUAGGGCGUCGGGGCGGUACCACGCGGAUUGGGUGCGCGUGCACGGCGCCGAGCGCAGGGGGCUGCGUGGCCGGAUGAUAGAUGCGUCGCACGCAGGCGCAGGCAUGUGGGCGUCAUGUGGUAGGGAGUUGGCUGUGGGUGCUACUACUGGGUGAGAUAAGGCUCUGAUAAGAUGUGAUUUGGCUACUGCCGCUCGCGAUUCGCUGCUGCGCUGUCUACUCAUUGCGAGAGUUGGUGCUUGUCACUGAAUGUGAAUGGUACCGUACCGGAGUUAAAUCAAGUGAAAGCAGCAAGUACCACUGCCGGUGCCGGGGUUUAUUUAUGUUGGGUUGCACUGCGGCGCUGCAAUCAUCGCUCUUCCGUGCGGCUUCAUUCGUUCCUUUGCUGGGGCCGGGGGAAACGGGUUGGCCUUGGCCGUCGCCGGCCGAAUGCAAUAUGGCAUCGCGACCCAAAGCUUUUGCUGCGGUAUUGCCGACUUGCAAGUUAAGUUUUUUUUUUUAAUGAACGAGCAAGCUCGGUUGAGAUCCUUGCCUUUUCAACCUUGAACAGCGGUAUUUGUUUUGAUAGAGUAUUUUUCAUUAAUUCAUAUUGAAACACAAGCAGAUGUACAAAAUACAACGAGCACACAGCCAGCCACUACACGACUAGGAUGCACACAACCAAUACACACACAAAGAUAUUCAUCACAAGAUCAAAACUAUGCCUAGGUCAAAUGGAAAAGAAAGAGAAAAGAAAAGGAGAAAGGACUUCGCCGAAGCAGUAGAAACAACCAUUGAUGUGGCAUGCCCUACUGCAAACAUGACUAGUACACAAGUCAUGGUGAGUACGUCGGUCAAUGACAAGCGGUUGCAGGCAACUUCGGCAGUCGUCGACAAAGGGGUGCGAACGGAGGAUAUUACGAAUGAGGCAGCGACAAUGCAUGUGGACGAGGCGGAUGUCGGAAAGAAAGUUGUUGAUGUGAGUUGUAAUUAUGUAAGGACAUGAGGAUUAUAUUGUAAAAGAACAAAAAUCUAAAUGAAGGGAGGUGAGAAGGGGAUCGGUAGAAGACCCCAGAUUUUUCCCCAAUGUCUCCUCUCCUUCAUGAACCCUAGUUCACAAAUCCAUGAGUGACAAGAUGGUAUCAGGGCGGGACGAAUCCUGUGUGGUUCUCCUGUGAUUUCGAUUGAUUUUGGUCGUCGGUGCGGUGCGGUGCUGUGUCGCUCCUAUUGUUGGAGGUGCUUCUGCUGCUGGCUUUGUUGUAGGUGUCGGGAAGCGACCUCGAUUCUGCCUGAAUCAAGUACAACCGGGGAGGCUCCUGCAGCUACCAGUUGAAUUGAAUAGAGCCUGGGCGUCUAGACUCCCUCCCCCGCUACAAGCUAAUUUUUUCUCUCCUGCCAUCCGGCGCCGUGAGCAGGUCUAGUUCGUCCCCAACUUGACUCUCGGACUCCUUGAGCUUCUGUGUUUUUUAUUGCUUUAGAAGAAGAAUCAGUGUUGCCUGGAGCUGCUUUGGUGGUCAGCUGGCCGGAUUAAAUAAUACUAUUUGCUAGUGUUGCAAUCCGAAGUAAUUGCCGUACUCUUUGGCACAUUGUUGAGCCGUACUAGUUGGUUCCUCUUUGUGCUGCACGUAUUUGAUAAGAAGAACCAAGUACUAGUGUUGGAAUAUAUUCUUGCUCACUGAACCAUGGGAGAUCCAAGUACAGAAAAACAGGGGAUUCUAGUGUUGAUAAGAUGUAUGAAAUAUUUAGCAAACUGCUUAAGCACCAGCAGGCUGCUGAGCCAGUUAAGCAUACACUUGAGCCAAAUCCAGUCAAACUAUCAGGACCUGGUGACUACAUCAGUUGGGCACGCCAUGCCAAAUUGAUUUUGAGCGCCAAUGAGUAUGAUUAUUUACUUGUUGGGAGUGAAGAAAGUUUGGAGAAAGGCGGUGCGGGCAGGAAACAAAUCAAUGAUAAAGUACUAGUAUGGCUGUUGGAAAGUAUGGAACCAAAAAUAAGAGAACAAGUGGAAGGCAUGGACACUGUUUGUGAGGUCCGGUCAUCUUUGAAGAAACAAUUUGCAGGGAAAACAAAUAAAAUGCAAGCCACCCAUAUCAUGCAUGAGUUAACUAAUUUGAAGCAGCGCUCAAGAUCUGUAACAGAGUAUCCAGGUGAAGUAAAAAAAUUAUAUAGAAACUUACAUUAUCAUCACCCUUUUGAACCUGUUGACAAGGAUGACUUGGCAAUUCAUCAUGUGUGGUUUGAGUCGUUUGUGAGCAAGCUCUUUCUUGAUGGCCUAGACCAGGAACUAAACCUCCGUCGUCAAUUGAUAUUUGGAAUGCCUGAGUGGCCUAGUCUUGAUGAUAUUAUUUCUAGCAUGAUUGAGGAGGAGACUCGUUUGGCACAACCGAAGGAGGAUGGUCAGGAGCGUGCAGAUGCUCGUGCUGCAUUAUCCAUACAACCUCGCCGUGCUACAAAUUCCUUUGGUAAGGUGGAUAAAAGCAAAUUGCUUUGUGACCAUUGCAAGAGAAAAGGACACACCAAGGAUGAGUGUUUUGAGUUGCAUGGUUAUCCACCUUGGUGGGAUAAAGG
rnacentral:lncRNA from 1 species